ensembl:rRNA 5S_rRNA 5S ribosomal RNA
GUCUACAGUCCAUACCACCCUGAAUGUGACUAAUCUUUUCUGAUCUUGGAGGCUAAGCAGGUUCGGGCCUAGUUAGUACUUGCAUGAGAGAUUGGCUGGGAAUACCAGGUGCUGUAGGCU